CUACGGGACGCAGCAGUGGGGAAUAUUGGACAAUGGGCGGAAGCCUGAUCCAGCCAUGCCGCGUGUGUGAAGAAGGCCUUUUGGUUGUAAAGCACCUUAAGCGAGGAGGAGGCUCCUUUAGUUAAUACCUAAAGAGAGUGGACGUUACUCGCAGAAUAAGCACCGGCUAACUCUGUGCCAGCAGCCGCGGUAAUACAGAGGGUGCGAGCGUUAAUCGGAUUUACUGGGCGUAAAGCGUGCGUAGGCGGCUUUUUAAGUCGGAUGUGAAAUCCCUGAGCUUAACUUAGGAAUUGCAUUCGAUACUGGAAAGCUAGAGUAUGGGAGAGGAUGGUAGAAUUCCAGGUGUAGCGGUGAAAUGCGUAGAGAUCUGGAGGAAUACCGAUGGCGAAGGCAGCCAUCUGGCCUAAUACUGACGCUGAGGUACGAAAGCAUGGGGAGCAAACAGGAUUAGAUACCCGUGUAGUC
rnacentral:rRNA from 1 species